rnacentral:rRNA from 1 species
UACAGAGGGUGCGAGCGUUAAUCGGAAUUACUGGGCGUAAAGCGCGCGUAGGCGGCUUUGCAAGUCGGGUGUGAAAUCCCCAGGCUCAACCUGGGAACUGCAUUCGAGACUGCAUUGCUAGAGUAUGGGAGAGGGAAGUGGAAUUUCCGGUGUAGCGGUGAAAUGCGUAGAUAUCGGAAUGAACAUCAGUGGCGAAAGCGGCUUCCUGGACCAGUACCGACGUUCAGGCACGAAAGCGUGGGGAGCAAACAGG